rnacentral:rRNA from 1 species
UGCUACCAUCAGUCAACGGUACAGGUCUUCGGAUGCUGAUGAGUGGCGGACGGGUGAGUAAUGCGUAGGAAUCUGUCUUUGAGUGGGGGACAACCCAGGGAAACUUGGGCUAAUACCGCAUAAGCCCUGAGGGGGAAAGCGGGGGAUCUUCGGACCUCGCGCUGGAAGAGGAGCCUACGUCUGAUUAGCUAGUUGGUAGGGUAAAGGCCUACCAAGGCGACGAUCGGUAGCUGGUCUGAGAGGACGACCAGUCACACUGGGACUGAGACACGGCCCAGACUCCUACGGGAGGCAGCAGUGGGGAAUUUUUCGCAAUGGGGGCAACCCUGACGAAGCAAUGCCGCGUGAAUGAAGAAGGCCCUCGGGUUGUAAAGUUCUUUCGUGGAGGACGAAAAGGUGGGUGCUAAUAUCGCCUGCUGUUGACGUGAAUCCAAGAAGAAGCACCGGCUAACUCCGUGCCAGCCGCCGCGGUAAUUC